GAUAAACGCUGGCGGCGCACAUAAGACAUGCAAGUCGAACGGACUAGAGAGAGCUUGCUUUCUCGAGCGAGUGGCGAACGGGUGAGUAACACGUAGGUAACCUGCCCAUGUGCCCGGGAUAAUUUCUGGAAACGGAAACUAAAACCGGAUAGGUAGGGAUCUCGCAUGAGGACCUUAUUAAAGGGGCUACGGUCCUGAACAUGGAUGGACCUGCGGUGCAUUAGCUAGUUGGUGGGAUAACGGCCUACCAAGGCGACGAUGCAUAGCCGACCUGAGAGGGCGAACGGCCACAUUGGGACUGAGACACGGCCCAA
rnacentral:rRNA from 1 species